GGCACGAUGCCGGAGUGGUCUAACGGGUGAGACUUGAACUGGUCCAAGAGGCGCGAGUCUCCAGGUCACGUGAUCUCAUGUCUUAGGACGCGCAGGUUCGAAUCCUGCUCGUGUCG
rnacentral:tRNA from 1 species